rnacentral:pre_miRNA from 1 species
ACCCCUCCCCCUUCGUCCGGAAAUACUUGUUCUAGAGAUGAAUGUAUCUAGACUUAUUUUAGUUAUAGAUACAUUCAUUAUAUUCAUUUUUAAGACAAGUAUUUCCGGACGGAGGGAGUAGUAU